rnacentral:sRNA from 1 species
AUGGAGCUUGCUCUUUCCAUCCUCUUCCUCUCUCCCAACUUCUCCUCUUUUCUUCGUCCUGCUACUGCCAGAGGCGGCCUUCAUACUUCCUACCCUCCAGGUUUCCCUUGUUGCAAAUUAUCCAUGGGAUGGCACAUAGGAUAAAAGGUAAUCAAUUUACAUCCAUAAAAGUUCUGCGCUGAACCAUGCUUAUUGAUAAUUGUCUUCAUUCAUUUCCAAUAGACUUCUUCCGGCUGUACGUUGGCCUCAGUGUGAGUGUACGUUUUGAUCAUUAUUCAAUUUUACCUAUGAUGCUCAAUGUGUUCAGGUUUUUAAAUGUUUCUUUUAUAGUGUGAAACAAGCAUGAUGAUGUCAGUAUUAGGUCUUAAACUGUUACCGUAAUGUUAUGAACAUUGCCGAUUACUUCUAAUAUGAUUAUGGAUUUUCGAAUGGUGCCUAACAAUAUGUGUAAGGUCAAAGUAACACUAUCCCAGAAUUUAUAUGCUAAUGCUUAUAAAUUUUUAUUUUGCACAUACUCGUCUUUUGAUCGAAAUUAAAUUACGGGAAAGAUUAUCUUGCAUGUCCGGAUGACGAGACAUUCUGGUUCUUAGCAAGUGUAUACAGUCGCUCUCACUACAAUGUGUCAUUGAGCAAGGAAUUUGAGGGAGGCAUUACAAAUGGAGCUUUCUGAUGGGUGUGAUAUCGUUUAACUACACUCAACUUAUACCCUUUAGCUAGGAGUAUAUGGAAGGAUCCUUUCAUCAGAUGGUGGUAGGCCGUUACCUGGCUUUAUUGCAAUCGAAGGAAUAAAUUCCAAGGUUCAAGCUAGCAGAGCAAUUGUGGAUUACCAUAGCUUGCUUGCCCCCGCCGGAAGAUAUAAGGUCACAGCUACUGUGCCUGGGUAUAAAUCAAAGACGACAUGUAUCUGGUUGGAAGAAGAAGGCACGACAAAUGGGGAUUUUGUUCUUGAUCCUGAAGUCAAUCCCAGAGAAAUUCAACUUCAAAGUGCCUGUGAUUGCGGCUGGGGAAGUAUGAGCAUCAUUUGGGGAACCCCUUUCGAAGUGUACGUGCUUUUGAUUGUUAUUGUAGGUUCCUUUUGUUUUUAUACAGGAGGAGAACAUUCAGCCGAUUAAAACAAAGGCAGUUAGUAGGACCGAAAAGACCAGUUGUGGCGUAAGGAUCGACUUUCCCAUUUAUACAGAUUUUUUUCUCUCUCUGAGAGUCAAAAUUAAGCCUUCUUCCUUAGGAAGAAAGUUUUGGGGAUGAUAACGAACAAUGCAACAGCAAAAAAGGAAAAAAAAGUGUAUAUUGCAAAACAAAAUGCGGCAAUUUUACAGAUUUAAACGGCAGCUCUGAAAUACCUUUCGUUAUGCACAGCACAUAAACAACAUCAAGGUCCAGUUGAAGACUAUUGUUUGGACGUAUUUUCCAUUUUCUAUUGUAGUGCAUGUAUGUAUAUUUUGAAAUUUUGUGGACUUUGCAUCUUUCCUUUCAAUUUGUAUUUUAUUGUCCAGUUGAAGCUCUUUGCUUGAGCAAAUUUCCGGCCCAUUAGCACUGCCAGUGCUUCCGCCGCAUUGGGGGAAGAUAGGUGAGAGUGCAGGGAAACACCACCCAGGAAAGUGCCAUUGUGGUCACUGGUCACCCGCUAUAACUCUGGCUGGA